AUGGGCACAAAAAAAUUGCUGUCAAACGUACGGAACAGCCUGUCCAGUGGUAAAUAUAGAGGUCAGUGACAAUAACCCAUCGCUUGGAAUGUUUGGAACAACAUCAGCAUGAAGUGUACUUCUUUGGGGAUUGUUCAAAAGUCGAGUAAAUCUUAUCUAUAUAAUAUUAGUUUUAGGUUGUCAGAUUUCCUAACAACUGAUAAAUUUAGUUGACAGAUAAAAUUUAUUCAACUAUUGAAAAAUCCUUACAUACUAAAUCUCACUUAGGUUACGAGCUGCCUCUGCAACAACUACUCUUAAGAUCGUACAAAAAUAAGAAAUGAGGAAAUAUAACGUGUCACUGAGAGUGUAAUGUGGCUGGCUAUGAAGGCUGUUUGCAGCCAAGAACGCCAGUUUGUGGGCGUAUUGGCACACAGACGGGACACGCACUUGAGAAGAACAGUUGAAAUACAAGUGAGUCAGCUUGUAAGUCAACCAUUGCAUCUAAAAGGAAGAAAACAAUUGUUAGUUAAAAUAGGUCUCGGCAUUCGGAAACCUACAGCCCCAGCAGUUUUCAUAAUUAAAUCUAUGAAUCCUUCUGAAUCUCGACGUUGUCUUUCUGGGGUUAUGACCACCCAUGAUGGCAAUUGUGAGAUAUCUAAUAGAGGUUUCGAG